UGCGCACAAAAAAAAAAUCCAACCUAAAUUAUAAAUAAAAUAAACACGUAACAAUUCAUUCUGUGCUAUUUUUCAGUGUGAGUCAGUGAGUGACCGGUGACUGGCUGCUGCAGCCAAUGAUGCGAUUCACAUACGUAUUUACCAUAGACUGUAUAUAAUGGUAUUUACGCAGCUAAUAACGUCAGACGUCCUUAUGUGCAGCUACCUUUGUUCUCAUAGAUAUGAAUGAGUAGAUAGGACACGCCCCUUUGUGCUGCAUGCUACAGCGAGGCUAAGCUAGUGGGGGCAAAGUUUCAGUGCAUUCUGUUGAUGUAGACGGCGUGAAAACGGAAACAACAAGUAUGCCGGCUCACUGUGCUGCAUACAGUUACACACUACGUCGUACGAUUGAGACAAGGAAACUUGGAAUGACUUUUCAUAGGUUUCCCAGAGACUAUGGGUUGAGGAGGAAUUGGAAGUUUGUCGGCUUAGACCUGGUGUCAUUCCAUCAGUGUUAAACUUCCCGGCUCAUCUUGGAAGAGUACAUACCAGAAAGACCACGACCAAGCAGCCUUGAGAUCUUAGGCAGCGUCUCCCUGAGACCAAAGAACUACAGACUCUUCACAACCUGCUCAAACUCUUGGUACAGGACCUCACCACACGGGUCAAGAAGGUUUCUGUCUCAUUUCUACUCUGAAGCUCACCUUCUCCUGCUCAAACUGCUGACAAAUGUUUCUGCUGCUCUAAAGUCUGGACUCCAGAACUUCCUAAAAACUCUCAAAGUCUCUUCUGCUGCAGGUUGCUUUGCAGAACUGUUCCAGAAAACCUCACUAAACCACAUGGAGGGGCCUCAAGAUAGUCGUCCAAAUGAAACCAUACAAAAACCAAACUAGUACAACCUAAACACUAAAGUCUCCUGCAGCCUACCAGAGAACCUCUGAGAACAGAGAAUCAGGACAGGAACUCUUACCUUCUGGACAACCAACGCUGGUUCACAAACAAGAAUACAGAAUGUGUCUGACCAGAAACCUCUAAAGACUCACUACAGCCAAGAUAAAGACACAACUCAGCUGCACCAAAUCCACUAAUCACUGCACACAUUAGCACCAUGUGCUAACUGUGGCUAAAGAACCACAUUUACCAAGACAAAUAUCCAGUACAAAGCCCUAAAACACACCAAGAAACACAUUAAAGAUGAUUGUACUGCUGGAAGCUGCAAGCCAACGUCUAAAGAACAAACUAAAGUAACGGAACCAAACCCAGUUCUGUUGUGAAGAAAAGCAGAGGAAAUGUUUGUCUGCAGCUAAAUAAAGCAGGAAGACACCGAGCUGCUCAGGUGUUCCUGAUAACACCAAGCAGCCACCUGGACAGCCAAUAGGAACACAGCUUCCUGGAAGUCCAGAGGGCUGGGUUAGUGAAGGAAAUUUAGUUUAAAGUUGAAGCAGAAAGUUAACAAAGAAAGUUGAAAACCACCUUCUGAUCCCUGAAAUCUCUGAGUUUUCACACAAAGAACACCUGAACAUGUCAAACUGGUUCCAUAGUAGAACCAUCAUUGUAAAAACAUCAUAGUAUGGUGUGUUGCUCAAAAAACAUUAGGACCCGGCUGUCAGGGGACAAACAUGUAAGAAACAUGAGAACAGAGAGAACCCAACCAGUAGGUCACAGUUUAUCAUCAUCUAAUCAUCUCCUGAAGUCCAUAUGGUGAGAGACAUCAGUAUCUGGUUGUUCAUUUACCAGAAGAUGCUUAUAAUCAUGCUGAUGUGGUCUGUACUCUACAGUAUUUUAGUGACUCAAUAAAUGCCUAAGUUGUUUUUUUUUUUUAAAUGCUUUUUAGUUUUUAAUAAAAAUUUAACAGCCUAUAUGUAAUCAAUAAAUGGCCUUUGCCUAUCUUAAGAAAAAUUCACUCAGAACUCUGAUAUGUUAACAGUACUAAAUAAAUCAAUAAAUGCAUGCAUACA